rnacentral:rRNA from 1 species
CGCCAUGGCGGCCGCGGGAAUUCGAUUCGUAUUACCGCGGCUGCUGGCACGUAGUUAGCCGGGGCUUCUUCUGGCGGUACCGUCACCCUCUGGGCUAUUAACCCGAGUGGCUUCGUCCCACCUGAAAGAGGUUUACAACCCUAAGGCCUUCUUCCCCCACGCGGCGUCGCUGCGUCAGGCUUUCGCCCAUUGCGCAAUAUUCCCCACUGCUGCCUCCCGUAGGAGUCUGGGCCGUGUCUCAGUCCCAGUGUGGCUGAUCGUCCUCUCAGACCAGCUACCCAUCGUUGCCUUGGUAGGCCGUUACCCCACCAACAAGCUAAUGGGCCGCGAGCCCCUCCCAAUGCGGAGGCCGAAGCUUCCUUUAGCGAACAGACUUAGAUCUGUGCGCCACAUCCGGUAUUAGCCCGAGUUUCCUCGGGUUGUCCCGGUCAUCGGGGCAGGUUACUCACGUGUUACUCACCCGUUCGCGGCUUUGCCCCAGGGCAAGCCCUGGUUCGUCGCACCACUUGCAUGUGUUAAGCACGCCGCCAGCGUUCGUCCUGAGCCAUGAUCAAACUCUAAUCACUAGUGAAUUCGCGGCCGCCUGCAGGUCGACCAUAUGGGAGAGCUCC